GACGUAGGGCGCAAGCGUUGUCCGGAUUUAUUGGGCGUAAAGAGCUCGUAGGCGGUGUGUCGCGUCGGCCGUGAAAACCUGCAGCUUAACUGUGGGCUUGCGGUCGAUACGGGCAUCACUGGAGUUCGGCAGGGGAGACUGGAAUUCCUGGUGUAGCGGUGAAAUGCGCAGAUAUCAGGAGGAACACCGGUGGCGAAGGCGGGUCUCUGGGCCGAUAUUGACGCUGAGGAGCGAAAGCCAGGGGAGCAAACGGG
rnacentral:rRNA from 1 species